AGGAAUCAUACCUCUUACAUCUUGAAGUUCAAGCAACCAUUCAUUUGGAUCUGUUGGAUCUUCAUCAUCAUCAGAUUCAGACGUAUCAAACUCAGCAGUCAAGACUACAGCGUAAAAAGACAACCGUAACUAGUGAUAGGCCAGCUCCAGUCCGGAUCCUGCUUCUCACCAAGACGUCAGAUGACCCAACACAUGCGGAAAGAUCACACUGGCCAACUCAGGACUAUAAAAUGAUUACAUUUUUUAAAAUGGGUUUGUGUUUAAUGUUUUGCCCUUGGAAUACUGUAAACUGUGAAAAUACUAUACUGCACAAGCAAAUGUGAAUUCAUCUGAAUCAUUACAAAAACAGGAUGACACAUGUUUGGUUUCAAUUAGUUUCCUCUGGUCAACUGACUCAGUGAGAAAGAGAGGGGGAUCAUUUCUGUUUCACUGUGAGUAAUCUGAGGGUGCAGGAAGUGGAGAGUAUGCUUGAAUGUAUAAGGGUCAAUGACAAAUAAGAAAAUGUCAGGUGGUGCGACCAUAUAUUAAUUUAAAAUAAUAUACAUUUAAUGUAUUUAGCACUGAGUAUUUUUCCCCUCAUAUAUAAGAAAUUUAACAUAAAAUCAUGCCAAAAUAUUUUAUUAAGAAUUUUAUUGAGAAAAUUAACAUUUAUUUCUCAGUUUUGUUCUCUGUUUGUAUGUUCGGACGGUCGCACCACCUGACAUUUUUGGUCUUUCAAACUCCAAAACUCAAAAAAUCUAUUGAAUUUCAAUAAAAUGAAAAGGGUUUCUUAUAAAGGACAUAUUGUAGAUCCAUUUGAUAUAUGACAUGUAUUUAUUCAAAUUCUUUUUAGGAAAAUAAUGAAUUUGGACACAAAAAAUACAUGUCACGUCAUUGACCCAUAAACUGGUUGUUGUGAUCAUUUCACCUAGAUGACAAGUGAUCAUCUAUACAUUACCCAGAGUAGUUUUUACUUAUACUUUCCCUUGUCAUUAAGUUGUUUAAGCUGUUUACACGAGUGGUUUAAAGAUCUACCAAACAUCUACAGUUUUGCAUUUAUUAAAGGAUUUGGCAAUUGCUGUAGCUGCUGUUUACAUUCUAGUUGCCUUCAAAACUAA